AAAAAGACAUUAUAUGCAUUUUAAUCUAUUUAAAAUAGUAUGUGCUUCUUGGUGUGUUUCUUUGAUUUGAUCCAGGCCAUCAAUUCAAAUUGAUCAAUGCUCCUCAUUAGCAAUCCGUGUCCAUUUCUAUCAUCCAAUCAAAAUAUAGCAUUUAAAUUAAGUGCAUACUUAAUAAAGAAAAUGGAAAAUAUCUCUUCUUCUUUUGGACACGCCAACGGUCAGAAAGGAGAGAAAGGAAAACUCUCUCACAUUCCAACGUCUCUCUCUGAGCCAAAAAGGACAAAAAGAAAAAUAAUAAAGACUCUAACGGACAAAAACAAAAAAGAUAUCCCUCACAUCCCUCUCUUUGCUGCAACAAGAAAAAGAAGAAGCUCAGAGCUUUGAAAGAAAUAAAUGAAAGAGUUUUCAUUGUGGAGGCACAUACACACUCAAAUUACAUAACUCUCUCCGCUGUAACUUCAUAAAAUCUUCCUUCUCCCCACUCCAUCUUCAGCGUUAUCUCUUUCUUUCUCUCAUAUCCAAG
rnacentral:lncRNA from 1 species